AGUUGAGCUUCGGGGUUGCGGUGAUGGGGCGAGCUGCCCGCGCUCCCGGUACCGAGGCGGGCCUGCAGACGGCCCGCCGCCCCCCAGGACCCGGCUGGUCGCCCCCUAAGACCGCCCGCCACCCCCAGGUCCACCUGCCGGAGCAGGCGGUGUGCUCUCUGGGCCGCAGGCGAGGAGAGGGGCCAGUUAUGGUCACGCCUCUUUCUCCCCAAGUGAUAAAGCUCAUCUAUUAGAAGAAGCUUUAGGAAUGCGAGUUUCGGGAUUGUUUGACAAGCUACUUCACUGCCUGGUGUAGUUCUUUGGGCAUCAUGAAGCAAACAGCCAGGCUGUGAACAGCCUCCGGGGACCGGGGGCAGCUUCUAGAUCCCAGGGCAGCCAACAAGAAGCCAGGACCCUCAGUCAUCAGCUGUGAGGAAAUGAAUCCUGUAAACACCUUGCAUGGGCCUGGCAGCGGAUUCUCCUCACUGAGACCUCCAGGGGCCCCAGUGCUCAGAGGCAGUAACCACACUUGGCUGAUGGUUGCUCACUUGGUUCCGCGUGCCGUGUCCUGGACCUCUCACAAAGGCUAAGGAGACGGAGUAGCGGACCCCAGACGGCCCGGCCUCCUGGCGCCUGCGUGCUGAGCGUGGAGGCUCUCAGGCAUGGUGUGAGGGGCGCCUGGAGAGAUGGGAGGCCUGCAGGUGACAGAGGCCAGGACCCGCAGCCCUGAGAUGGAAAAGCAGGCUGUGUCGCCUUUAAAAGAAAGACCACACGAUUACACCUCCAACAGGCUACAGGUAGGAAGACAGGAAGGAGACCUGUUUCCACUAAAGGCCACUCCUCCUAAAUGAAAGGGGUAAGGGUUACGUAGUGGGUAGCGCCAAAGACCAAAACUUACGCUACAGCACCCAGCUCUGCUUGCUGUAAGGAUGUGAACUGCAGAUAACAGCUCAGUUUGCCAACGGGUUCCUUGGGCAAGGCGGUUCGUGGUAAGCAUAUGGGAACCCUCCCACACAGCACACCUGUUACCGCUUUCCACCUGCAGCAGCUGAAAGUACGGGCAGCCCAGGGAGCACAGGACAUGCCCUGAACAGAGUGCACGCCUCCGGGGUCCUCCCACCGGCUCCCCGCACAGACCCCGGGUACCCCCUCCUCCUGGCGGAGGUGCACGACACCACUCCCCUUUCCUUGGGUCUUUGUCAAAACUGCAGAAGGAACUUGUCCUCAGAAAGUAAAGGGAGGAACCCGUGAAAGCAGACGAAUGAACAGUGGCCCCACUUGAGGGGGGCCUGGCUCCUGGAAUUUCAUGGGUUAUUCGUGUCAACAUUCCCCACCCCUCCAGUCCCUGCUGACACUUUCUAGGGACACAGGAAACACCCUGACGCUGGGCCUUUGUCUUUGGUGCCGGUCACAUUUUGUCACCUGAGUGGCUCUCCCGCCCCUACAGACCAUAAGUCAUGGUUUUCAUCAAGGAUCCCCUGGGCAGUGCUCUUAAACGGGCUUCUCACCAAACCCUCCCAGCUCCCAGAGGUGAAAUCUGGUUGGUGGCACCUCGAGCCUCUUCCUAGUGGCGGGACUCCAGGCUCAGAACCUGAGAAUCUUGGAUUGUGAGCCAGCAUUCUGUCCCCCCGGAGGCCCGGCCCUUCCGGUGAUGGCCCCGCCCCCGUGGCCUUCUCCAUCACCCAUUCAUGACGGCCCCUGCCCACCUGCUGGAGCGUAAGCGAACUCUUCCUGGCUCCCGUCCUCAGGCUCCCGCCCACCGCCCAGGGGCAUCUCACUGAAGCCAGCCAUGUCCACCGUGCAGGGAGCAGGUAGGAGCCACCGAACAGGGCCGGAGAGGGGACCCAGGGUGGGCCUGGCCAGAGGAGGGUACGGGGCAGAGGCGGCCUCUCCUUCCUGAGGACCCCUGCCCUCUGCAGUCUUCCGGGCCGCUUGUUUUACAAAGCCAGGGCCCCAUGACGACAUGGUUUCUUCUGCUUCCCUCUGCGGCCUACAGGAAAACUGAGGUAUGUGGCAGAAUAGACUAAUGACCGAGAGAGCAGGAGACCAAGACUCUCCCAGGCCCCGCAGGGCCCCUUAAAAAUGACUGACGAUGAGGGGAGGCGGAUGGGUGACCCACAGAGGUCCCGCCCUGACCUAAGGAAGUGGCCUCUCCCCUCAGCUUGGGAGUGGUCAUUCGCUUGCCCCCAACCAAAGAAGAUGUCUGCUGUCACCAACUUCAGUGCUCUGGUAAAUGGUAACGAGUCCACUUGGCGGCAGAUUUCAAAGGGAAGUACUUGCUGUAAAGCUGAGUAACUUUCACUGAUGCCUGGCAGAGGGUAGAAAAUUUGAGCGGUCCAUCAUUUCCCCUGAAUGAUACUCUGUAAUCACAAAACACCGAGUGAGUCCCAAAGAGCGGUCAUCGUCUUAACGAGUGUCUCUCCUUAACUCUUGAUUUUAUAAAACCAGGAAUGGCCUGGAAUGGUCCAGACCUAUUUCUAGCCUGAAGCGGGGGUGGGGGUGGGGUGGGGGACACACCUCACAGUCUCUGGGCCGGAGCUCAGUCUGGAGGCAGAAGGACCUAGGUUUGAACCCUCACCUGGGCAAGUGACCCUGAGUUCCAUUAGACAUUCAUUGAGCACCUACUACGUUCCAGGCACUGGGGAUGCAGAGAUAAGUUACAAGGGGUUCAGUGGACCCAGCUCAGUGGGGAGGUGGCCUCUUUCCUCCAAGUUGGGGGUGAUACCUGAGUAUCACGGCCUUGAUAACGAAGUAUGAGUCCCUACAGCGUCCAACACAUAGCAGGAGCGGGAUACACAUUGGUUUCUCUCUCGAAGUUCCAUUUAGAAUUGGCGAUUCUGUCAUUCUGGAAGGUGAUGGGGUAAAACUGCCCCCCACAGAAGAGACGUUGUUGUAUUUCUGAAAGGAUGGUGGAUAUCUUCGUGUAAGAAAGCCUGGCUCCCAGAGGUGAAGUGACUUGUCCAAGUCACACAGGGAGUUUGUAGAACCGUCAGGAUGGGGACCACAUGCCGCCUCAGCAUCCAAAUGUGGCUGAAGUUUUUUUGGACUCCCCCUGCCCUCAGUCAAGAAGUCCUGGAGAAGCACCCUGUUCUGUUACUCUGAAUGUGGCAGAUGAAAAAGGCGUUCAGUUCAUCUUGCCCGUGGUUGCCAUAAAUGUGUGGACUUUUGUGUUUUAGCUCAUCGUUAGUCCAGAUACAUCACUGACAUCUAUUGAUACUGCAGUGUUUUCAGAGGUUUUGAGGACAGCUGCUUGGUAACUUAUUUAGCUAGAAACGUUCUAUUCAGAACUUUCUCUCUGUUCUUGCGAGAAUUGCUAGAAAAUGUUGACUUAAGGAGAUGCUUCUGUGUUUCAUUGCACAAGUAAGUGUGCUCUACUGGGCAGGAUUAUGCAGUGAGGACCACCUCUUAGAGACUGAAGGGCGUAGUAUGGAUUUAAAUAUAGUAAAACAUCCAGGCAGACCUCGGAGGUAUUUUGGGUUUGGUUCCAGACCACCGCAAUAAAGCGGGUCACACAAUUUUUUUCUUUUCCCAGUGCAUAGAAAAGUUAUGUUUACGGCACACUGUAGUCUGUUAAGUGUGCAACAGCAUUAGGUCUAAAAAAAAAUGUGCAUACCUUAAUUAAAAAAUAAUUUAUUGAUAAAAAAUCCUAAUCCUCUUAGCCUUCGGUGAGUCGUAGCAGUGACACCAAAGAUCACUGAGCACAGAUCACCAUCCCAGAGAUAAUAACAAUGAAAACGCUUGAAAUGUUGGGACAACUACCAAAAUGUACCACGGAGACAUGAAGUGAGCAAAUGCUGUUGGAAAAGUGGCGCCGACAGACUUCCCACGGGCCUUCAACUUGUAAAAAAUGCAGGUCUGCAAAGUGCAGUAAAGCAAGGUGCACUAAAACGAGGUCUGCCCGUGUAUUGUACUUGCGAUAGGACUGACCUUGUGAUUUGCAUGAAAUUGUCGUUUGUGUUGUGUAAAAACAUCUGUGCUUAAUUUCUAAAAUAUUUAGAAAGAUUUUCCUGGUAGAAGUGUAAGGCUUGCCAUCAAACGUAAAACUCGGUGUUCAUCUAAGGUAAACAUUUAGCAAAUAUUUGGCAAGGGCUUUCUCCAAGCCAGGCACUUGUAAUCAGUUACAGCCUUGAAUUUGGAAAUGAUAUUUGCUUCCUUUUUAAAAAUUUUACUUUAUUUUUGCCACAAUCCCAGCCACGUGAGGUGCUAGCUUCUCAGAUGCGCAAGCAGCCCAUGUGACGGGUUAUCGGCACUUCUCAAAGCCUGGCAGAAAGGGCGGAGUCCCGGUUUUGGUUUCCUUUGGCUAUACCUGAGGACAGUCCUUGGUGACAGUCAAGGUCUGGAGGACAGUGGCACCUUCCCUGGCCGGGGGCCAGCACGUCCCCUACCCGACAAGGUCCCCUGCUGAGUGCUCCCAGCGAAAACAUGUACGGAUAGCAGUUAAAAUCAUAUUCUCGUUUCUGUGGAACUGGCAAUGCUAAAAAAUUUCUUUUGUUAAUGUAUGCAUGAUAUAAAAGUGGAUUGGGAGGAGGAUUUCAGAGACCUGAAAAAUACGCACUGAGGAAGGUAUGUUUCCAAGCCUUCUUCAAGAAGAAAGUGUUUCUGUUAAAAUUAGCACACAGUGGCUGGCUUUCCUCUCAUGCAUUUGUCAUGGAGGCCACGUGCCGGGAUCGUUAGGGUCACCUGUGCUGGAUCUGGGAUCCAGAGAUCCACCUUCUGUGGCCGGGAGACGGCGGAAAAGUCACGGAACCUCUGUGUGCCUGGGUUUCCUCGUCAAGCGAUUGGGGGAUGUUGGUGACUACUUCUCAGGAUGGCCCCAAGGAUGAACUGAGAUAGGAAGUAGCUUGGAGGUGAGGUUACUCUCGGAGGCUGGACUUGUUUCCUGUUUCAUAUAGAAAACAGAAGCAAUCAGAAGCCAGCGUCCCCUCCCUCCUCCUGCCCACCUGCCCGAGUGCCCACAUGCUCCACUUUCUCCUGCUUCUGUGAGUGGCUCGUCUGGGACUCUGCCAAGGACCCCACACCCUUUUUCCUCCUCCCCCCCUCUUUCUCCCACACCCCCCUCGUCUGCAUCCAGUUGUUCCCAACAACUUACAAACUGUGCUGUUACUUCCCCUUUCCCUUAAAACACCAGCAAACUGGCAAACACACAACAGCUGGUCCUUCCGGCCUCCUCACGGCUGGCUCUCUGACCUCCUUGCAGACUCUGCCCACCUACUGGACCAGCCUCUCCGAACAGCAAAGUAAAAUCACACACCACUCACUGCCCCGCCUUGCCUGCCUCACUCCCUAUGCCCUUGACCUGCUCAUUCUGCAC